UCAGUUAUGGUUCUCGCUUUCUUGCGUAGAGGAUAGUUAAAGCUAGGGAUAAUUUGAAUUGCUAGUCUGAAGCGUUUGCGAGGAGGAAUUAUAGCAUAGGUGUUCCGAGCUAAAGGGCUUUGCUUGGCUUCUUUGCAAGGAAGAUGGUGAAGAAGAAGGACAGGACUGCCCGCAGGCAGAUAUUGCAGUUAAAGGAGGAGAGAAGCCGAACAUAUUCCCCGCCGGCCAAGAAUUCGUCGAUUGGUACUGCGGAGCCAUCAAGUCAAGGAGAUGACGAAGGAGACGGACAUGACGAAGCUAGCCAAAAUGAGCCAGCCUCGAAUAACGGCGUUCGGAGAGAUGCCAUAGACGAUCAGCUUGAAGACUUCAUGAAGGAAAUUGAUGCUAUCUCAUCGUCUGUUCCUGAGACUGAUGCGCAAGGUGAGGAGGAUAAAAAGGAAUCUGUUGACCAGCAGGCUGUGACGGCAUCAUUGGGCGCUCCGCUAACUUCAGGGACACCUGAAGUAGAAGUUGCCACCCAGGAGCCAAAGUCAGAAGGAAGCACUGCGGAAACACCUUCGGCUACUAAGGGCGAAAUUCCACCUUGUCCCUGGGUGGAGUGCAUGGAUGUGGCGACUGGGUACACCUACUUCUGGCACCAGUUGACCAACGAGACAACGUGGGACUGUCCACCUGAGUUCGAAGCUUACUGGGCACAGUAUGGUGAACCUGCUGAUGCUGAGGGUGGCGCGCCCGGAGCUGGUGCUGAUGCUGCUUCUGCAACAAUUCUUCGCACGAGUGGCGACACACAGAUGCUUCCCGAAACCAGUGCGUCAGCAUCUCCUACUGGUGCGGCUGCACCAAACAGCAGCGACUCAACGAAUGUUCAAGCUGCGGAUUCCUGCAGCGCGGAAGGUGGAGCGCAGAAACUUGCUGAUUCGUCUUCAGCCACUGCAUCGAUAGCUAGUGCGGCCCAAAGCAGUGCGAAUAUGGAAGCACCCGAAGUAAAUAAGAGGGUGACGACGUCUGGCAAGAAGAAGCGGAAGCAAGAAGCGGUCAUUGGAGCAAUCAUUCCAAUAACCUCGUACGGCGGCUCUGACAGCAGCUCGUCCGAGGGGAGUGACUACGAGACUUAUUCAGUCUGUAGGACACGGCUGAAGAGGCAUCCUUCCAAGCGCGUGAAGGUAGCAGCUAAGAAGACUCGUGCGAAAUCACCACCACCUGUUACCUAUGGACCACAGCUGCCAGACUCGGUACUUGCUCAAAGUGAAGUGCCCGUGUAUGGACCGCAGCUUCCUGAUUCUUCUGAAUCCAUGGAAGUAACAGUCUAUGGUCCACACCUGCCAGAAGUGAAGACAGUUGAAUAUGGCCCUCACUUGCCUGAGGAGGAUAGAGUCGUGUAUGGACCACACUUGCCGGAGCCAGAGAAAAAAAUUGCAUACGGGCCACACUUGCCAGAUACCAGCAACCUAGAAUCUCAUCAGCCCCCGGUCUUAAUUGGUCCACAGCUGCCGGAGUUACACGAGCUCAUGACCGAAAAGUCCAGUGCAUUUAUUGGCCCAGUUCUUCCGGAUGAAUUUAUUGACAAACAAGCAGAGCAUUGUGAAGAAGAUAAUCCCAAAGUUCAAGAACAGUCUCCUAAAUCGGAGGACCCAUCCUCUGAAGGCACAGGAUCCCCCAAAUCUGUCGCUUGUAAAGAAGAUAAUCCCAAAGUUGAAGAACAGUCUCCUAGGUCGGAGGACCCAUCCUCUGGAGAUACGGGAUCGCCCAAAUCUGUUGCUGUAUCUGAAGCAUCCUGUGCUAAAGGUUUGCAAGCCAGUGAAAGUGUGCAGGAAAGCAAUCACUCUUCUGCAGUUACUGGAGAACGUGCUAGUGCUUCUGUUGAAACUGCAGUUGCGGUUCCAGCAUUGUCUGGCCUGGUGGAUUACCCUGGCUCUCCUGUUGUUGACAGCGAAACAGAUGAUGAGGGGAGUGAUGGGGACGAUAAAGUAGAGUCUGUGCCAGUGCAGGACACUGAGAAGGAGCCUGCGGCUGUGAACUAUCCUGUCAUGACUGAUGGAAAGCUCCAGUUUGAGACUGUUGAGAAUAAUGUGCAUGAGAAAGUUUCCCAAGAUGCCAGUCAAGGCUCUUCUAAUGUUCGUGCCAGCUCCCUGUCUGCAACAAAGCAGUUGAAGUCAAAAGAAAAUUCUGAGGCAAAGAACGGAUCGCAGCACCUGGUUUGUUAUGGUGACUCGGAGGGCAGUGACGAUGACAGCAUGGACGUGGACAUAACUGCUGCGGAGCCCUGUCUUUCUUCAACAAUGCGAUCACCCGCCUCUUCAGUAGCUGGCGAGGAUGACAGGGAAGAUAGACACAGGGGCUUCGGGUGCUCAAACAGCGAUGCUCUGGACGCUGAAGCUACUGAUGUCAAGAAGGCUCCUUCAGCAAGGCCAUUCGUGGGAGUCAGCUUUGUUCGAUCGUCAGAGUUGCUUGUGUUGAGUGAGUGUGUAAAUCAGGGUGAGGGAGACGCUGAAGAGAAGACUGCUAAAGAGAAGACUGAAGAGGCUGCGGAAGAACAGUCAUCCAGUUCCGAGGGCACGGCUGCCACCGAAAGGUUGGCUUCCCCGCAAGAACAGGUGGCACCGGAAGAUUCUGAUGUAGAUGAUUUUGAUGAUGUAGUCCGGGCCCUCGACAUUGCUUUGUUAGAGUCGCAAAAGAAGAAGGCGCAGGAAAUUGGUACAAAGCACCAAGACUUACCUAGUGCUGACAAAGAAUCGCCCGGUGAUACAAGCGAGGAGGAGGGAGAAAUCAAGUCUUCCGAUUCGUCCAGUGAGGAAGGAAUGACACCAAUGCCGCAGGGGAGCUCAGACUCUGAGGAUGAAUCGGAGACGGAAGGGGAUGCCAGACUAAAAAAAGGCAAUGAAUUCACUGAACGAAAAACAUCUCCCAAGCCUGAGAGUAAGGAUAGGCUUAAGCUUGAUAUUGAAGAAGCUUACAAGCAGCUGACAGACCUGUUGAAUCCUCUGCGGGACGUGAUCGCCUGUAGGAACAGCUACUUCGAACUUGUUGUGAAGACUAUGACACGUAUGGAGGAUUGGCGUGCUGGAGCUCUGGACCCUGGCUACUUUCUUCAGAGGUUACACGAAGCGCGUGCCACGGCUGACGAGCUUCAGCAACUGGUCCUGGCUCCUGAGCCAACAGAGAGCGACAAAUCUUGCCAAGAACCCUUGCCGCCCGGCUGGCAGAGGCACUGGGACAGGUACGGUGUCCCUCGCCUCUUUCGUCCUUGCUUACUGCAAUCGGCAACAGGGAUUACGAUGUUGUUUAUGCUGCUACAAGCGAAACGAAAGCUGCCAUGUGAGGGUGCGGUAAAUGAACAGGAGAAGAAAUGGGGUCGGUGGGAGAGGGUAGUCUCAGUCUCGUCAGCAGAGAGUGUGUCUAAAGUGUCUUCACAACUGUAUUACACUUGUUUAUUUUUUUUUCUCCUCCCUUUCUUGUGGUGCUGCUCUUUGCACCCUGAGCAGGAGCCUUUACGAAGUCUGGUCUUGGCUUGGGGCGGGAAGGAUGGCUUGGUGGGAGGCGGUCGCCGCUGUGUUUCGUUUCUUUUUCUUCUUUUCCUCUCAAGCCCAAGAAGCCCUUUCUUUCCUCGUUUUUCUCGUGGAGGACCCACGUCCCUCAUGGCACCCCAGCCCCCACCCACCCCGUCGGUCCUUUCCUUGCCAUGCCCUACCUCUUUUUAUCUGACGUAUCGAUCGUCGUUGCGCCAUAUUGCAACCAGUGGACAAGUUGCUGGACUUUAUGGGGCCGCUUCUGGAGCUGCCACGGCCAAAUCGGGAUGAUGUAGGCUGACAUGCCUUGGCUGAUCCGAUGGUGCUCUUGUGUCACCUGUCCAGCCUGCAAGAGACCCUCUACAAGACAGGAGCAACAUCAAGCCUGUAGACAGCACUCAGUCCUUUGGAGCUGAGUGGCUAUGGUUUGCCAGCGGAUUGCUUUGAAAAGCACGCCCAUUAAGUUGUGACUGCCGUGUGCACCGGUUGUGGGAGUAACAUUGGUAUCACAGAUGAAGAUCGCUUUGAGAAUUCCGUGCGGCACAGGGGUGUGUGUCAUCAGGCGGUGGAUGCUACGCCAUUGUUUCCUGCUGCCACAUAACUUAGAAAUGACACCAUACCACUGCAUCGUAGGACUGGGUCAUGUCCAGCAUACACCUUCCAUCUCUUUCUAGAAGUGCUUGGAUGUCAUCGUUGUAUGCUUUAGUGGGCACGCAAGAUAUUUUUAUGUGCACGAGGAAACCGGCCAUUCCCAGUGGCAGUUCCCCGAUGUGCCUGAUUCCACCUCUCC